UGCCCGUGAUGCACAAAAAAUGCACGUAUUAUCAGAGAUGUUGUGAUGAUAUAUUAGUUGUCACUACCGCUGAGGCA
rfam:Musa acuminata subsp. malaccensis Doubled-haploid Pahang (DH-Pahang) genomic chromosome, chr5